CCGUUGAUUGAAAUGCAAAAAUAAGGACAAAUAACGAAAUGGUUGUGACCCGACCGAAAAGGAGUAAAAUAAUACUGUUCGUACACUGAGGAGUGCUUUGAAAUUUGAAUAUGCAAACCAACUCGAUCUUCAGGUUUACACCAUGAUAAACACGGCCGGGCAAAAACGAUCCAAACGAUCACGAUACAGUCACGCCAUGUCACGCCACUAAGUCGUCCAUCUUGAUUUCAUAGUGACGUGUUGUAAAUUAUUAAUAUAUAUUAAUGAAUAUUGACAAUUGAAUGAUUCAAAAACUGAAUUACUGUCAAAGAUGCAAACUAAAAAACAAGGCUCACUUAAGAUGGAAAAUCCAUAACAAUUGAUAUAACGAAAUUAGGAAAGUAAAAACAUGGUCAUGGUGGUAAAACAAUAUCAUUCGAUAAAAUGAACUAUCACUAAAUUAAUUCCCCUAUUAAUCCUAAUAAAGCCCAAAUAGUUGCUAUUGCACAUUAAUUCCAAAACAAACAAAGCUUAGGGUUUUAAAUGAUGUUUAGAGAUUUCAAUUUAAAGAUCAUAGACAUCCGAGUCAGAUGGACUGAUCUAGGAUAUACCAAAAUAAAUUCUAAAGGCUCAUUUUACAUUGAAAAUACCUUCAUAACAACAUUAUUGGUUAGAAUCUUCUGAAAAAUAUUAGAAAAUAAGAUUAGCUUUAAAGUAUUUAAAAUUUGAAAUAUAUUUUUAGUAACAUAUUUUGACUUCCCUGGAUUUGCUAGUGAUAGACAUAACAGUGUUCGGCCAUUUGCAUUAAAAACAUAAAUUGGA